UCCUUGGUGGCUCAGAGGUUAAAGCAUCUGCCUGCAAUGUGGGAGACCAGGGUUCGACCCCUGGGUAGGGAA
rnacentral:tRNA from 1 species